CCUACGGGAGGCAGCAGUGAGGAAUAUUGGUCAAUGGGCGAGAGCCUGAACCAGCCAAGUCGCGUGAGGGAGUACUGCCCUAUGGGUUGUAAACCUCUUUUGUCGGGGAGCAAAAGCCGGACGUGUCCGGCUGUGAGAUUACCUGUAGAAAAAGCAUCGGCUAACUCCGGGCCAGCAGCCGCGGUAAUUCGGAGGAUGCGAGCUUUAUCCGGGUUUAUUGGGUUUAAAGGGUGCGGAGGCGGAGUUUUAAGCCAGCGGGCAAAACGUGGGGCUCAACCCCAUCCAGCCGUUGAAACUGGGGAUCUAGAGUGUGCGAGAGGUAUGCGGAAUGCGUGGUGUAGCGGUGAAAUGCAUAGAUAUCACGCAGAACCCCGAUUGCGAAGGCAGCAUACCGGUGCACAACUGACGCUCAGGCACGAAAGCGUGGGUAUCGAACAGGAUUAGAUACCCGGGUAGUC
rnacentral:rRNA from 1 species